UUGGGAGCGUGGCGUUAGCUGUCGAAAUUAGGUUUUUUCGUAAAGAAAAAUGCUAACAAGCGGUUGUGCGUGUAGAUGAACGAAUAAUGAUGAUAAAGAAGAAUUCAAAGAGCAGGAAAUAUCCCUCAAAAUCCUUUCACAUUCAACUACAGAGCUAAAAAAAUAAAUCGGUUGUCAAUGUCAAAUCACGAUAUUCAAGGUUGUCACGACGGCCAUGUAUGACCACAAGGAUUUUAUCGGACUAAAAAAGAGUACUGAAAACUGAUGCUGUGUCAACUUUUUCUUUCUUUUUGUGCAAGCCAUCUUGUAAGAAGGAGGAAUACAAAUUUUAUGCCUCGAGCUGCUGAAGCAUAGCAAAGGACAAAGUGUGCUAACUCAAUGAAGGCUUGCAUUCAUGAAUAUUUUUGAGAACCAGUCAAUUCGAGUAAAUGUUUUUCUUUUGGACAUUAAAGUAUCACACUAGAGUUUCCUGCUGCAUUUUCAGAUGGAUGAACAUUUAUAAAUGAAGAAAUGUUCCAAUUCUUACACCUUCAUUGGAUACAUACCUGGUAUAAAAUUUUCCCAUUAGUUAGAACUAUCUAACAACUCUUGUAAAUGAUUAUUACACCAUCAAUUCUUAAUGACAUUUUAAAAAUAGUAGCAAAUAGCUUUUCUUUUCUGUGAUGGAAAUAUAC